UACAGAGGUCUCAAGCGUUGUUCGGAUUCAUUGGGCGUAAAGGGUGCGUAGGCGGCGCGGUAAGUCGGGUGUGAAAUUUCGGAGCUUAACUCCGAAACCGCAUUCGAUACUGGCGUGCUUGAGGACUGGAGAGGAGACUGGAAUUCAUGGUGUAGCAGUGAAAUGCGUAGAGAUCAUGAGGAAGACCAGUGGCGAAGGCGGGUCUCUGGACAGUUCCUGACACUGAGACACGAAGGCCAGGGGAGCAAACGGG
rnacentral:rRNA from 1 species